rnacentral:rRNA from 1 species
CCUACGGGUGGCAGCAGUGGGGAAUAUUGGACAAUGGGCGAAAGCCUGAUCCAGCCAUGCCGCGUGUGUGAAGAAGGCCUUCGGGUUGUAAAGCACUUUCAGUGGGGAAGAAAGCCUUGGGGCUAAUACCCUCGAGGAAGGACAUCACCCACAGAAGAAGCACCGGCUAACUCCGUGCCAGCAGCCGCGGUAAUACGGAGGGUGCGAGCGUUAAUCGGAAUUACUGGGCGUAAAGCGCGCGUAGGCGGUCUGAUAAGCCGGUUGUGAAAGCCCCGGGCUCAACCUGGGAACGGCAUCCGGAACUGUCAGGCUAGAGUGCAGGAGAGGAAGGUAGAAUUCCCGGUGUAGCGGUGAAAUGCGUAGAGAUCGGGAGGAAUACCAGUGGAGAAGGCGGCCUUCUGGACUGACACUGACGCUGAGGUGCGAAAGCGUGGGUAGCAAACAGGAUUAGAUACCCCAGUAGUC